rnacentral:rRNA from 1 species
CCUACGGGAGGCAGCAGUGAGGAAUAUUGCGCAAUGGGCGAAAGCCUGACGCAGCGACGCCGCGUGAGGGAUGAAGGUCUUCGGAUCGUAAACCUCUGUCAGCAGGGAAGAAAGGUCAGUGUGCUAAUCAGCAUUGAAUUGACGGUACCUGCAAAGGAAGCACCGGCUAACUCCGUGCCAGCAGCCGCGGUAAUACGGAGGGUGCGAGCGUUAAUCGGAAUGACUGGGCGUAAAGCGUUCGUAGGCGGUAUGUCAAGUCAAGGGUGAAAUCCCCGCGCUCAACGUGGGAACUGCCUUGGAAACUGGCAAACUGGAGUGUGUGGGAGGAUAGUGGAAUUCCAGGUGUAGGAGUGAAAUCCGUAGAUAUCUGGAGGAACACCAGUGGCGAAGGCGACUAUCUGGCACAUAACUGACGCUGAGGAGCGAAAGCGUGGGUAGCAAACAGGAUUAGAUACCCCAGUAGUC